GGCGCGCUGCAAAAAGGCGGCCUUGGAUUGCCGCUGCCCGCUGGUCCCGCACUCCGGCCCCCGCCCGGGGACUCUGCGCCAGGCCUCCCGGUACCGCGCUGGUCUCUCGUUCCUUCCCCCAGAACCACAGGAAUAAAUCCUGGCAGCAAAGCACAGAAACUUCCUACCGCAGCGGGAGUGCGCAGGGAGCGCCCGCGGUGCUGGGGCCGCGCGGGCACUCGGGCCCUUCCCCGGCCCCUCCGUCUCUAGUCCUCCCUCCCGGCGGGCACCGGCAGCAGCGCCACCGCCGCCCUCAGCCUCCCCUGGGUCCAAAAUGGGAGGCUGGCCCCACGACCCUCGACCCUCGCGGUCCCUUCGACCCCCCGCGGUCCCUUCCGGCCCGGGAUUGUGGGCGGCUGCUCCCGCGAGGCCCAGGCAUUAGCCGGCACCUCGCAAGGCGCCUUCUCACAACUAAAUCACCGUGGAAGCUUCCCAGCCAAUAAAUCACCUGCCCACCGGGGGGGAGAGUCCCUCCCACUCCCCGUGUUUGAGACCAGCCGGGCCGAUUCAGUGAGGAGCCAGACUUGGCCUGCAAGACAGAUCUGCAACCUCCUACUCCAUUCCUCGAGGCUCUGCAUUUUCAGAUUUCACCCCUUUCUAAGAUAUGACUCAUCACUGUCAAUUUUCACUAUAAUUCUUAUAGGUCAAAGGAAAAGUCUGUCAAGGCACAAAAACAGCAAGCCCUCCUCCGGUCUGGAAAAGAGUGACCUCGGUUACUUAACAAAAGUAUCAUUCUAAUUACAACCGCAUCCUGGACUACGUGCAAGGCUUCUCCACGGGGGACAUGGAGAGGAAUGAGGCUGCCCUGUCCUCAAGGAGCUCCAUGGCAAAUAGCAGGUAAGAUACAUGUGUGUGGAGUCAUUACAGAAACAUCUGGGAUUUAAUUCAGCCAAAGGCACGGACUGUGUAGUCCAGAGCGCCUUCCCCAAGAUGGUGAGGCUCGCCCAGAUCACAAAGAACUGACAGCAUGUGCAGAGGUGGAGGGGGUUCGGAAGGCCCUCCAUGAAAGACAGAGGUGGUUAUAGGAGAAGAGUCUACACAAAGUCGAGGUGGGUGACCCGGCGUGAGUGUGAUGGUGGAAUUCCAGGACCAGGCCACAGGACACACGACAGCCCCCCGAGGAGAGGCCGGCACAAUGGAGGCGGCGACUGAGGAAGGCUGACUAGAACAGCAGGCUAAUGUGGUGGAGCUGAGCAAACUUGAGUGCAGAUUCUGAUUCUUCCUCUGGACAUCACCCAUUCAACUAAUAAUUAUUAAGUAUCUUCUAUAUGCCAGGACUUUACAUAUAUUAAUUUAAAAUCCUCGCAACCUAAAAGAAAUGCAUUAUCUUCGCUUUACAGACAAGGAAGCUAAGGCACAGAUGGUUACAGAGAAAAAGAUAGAAUUCAAACCCAGGCUCCAAAAUCUAUGCCCUUCACUGCCACGCCCUGUGUAAAAUGGAGAAGGAAAAACUAACCAUACCAUCAAUCCAGGGUCAAGGGUGACAUCUGUGAACAACUGGGAGCCUCAGGGAUGGGUGAGGCCUAAGAAUGGAGUCCAGGACAGGGUGCAGAUCGCAGAUGGUGCGAUGGGCAUCUGUUGCCUUUGUUUGCCUUUCAAGACAUUUUUCUCUAGCUCAGACUUCACCUACACUUUCUAUUCGGAGUAUCAUCUUCCACAGUCUCAACAUGGACAGUCACAUGUCCUAGACCACGGCCUCCUCUAGGCUCUUCAAUACACUCUCCAAGAGUAACUGGUUGGACCAAUAGGACAGAAGUGAUGCUGGUGGACUUCUGAAGCUGGAGUGUAAGCAAUACAGCUUUUGCUUGGCUCUGCGCCUCUGCAGACACACAGCGCUGAGCCACCAUAAUACAAAGGCUGGCUCUCCGGAAGCCCCCAGCAGUGCUGGGAGACCACACCGGGGUCGGGGUCGAGAGACGCCUAGAAGCUCCCGCUGUUCCAGCCCCCAGCUGCUGAGGCUUCCUGGCUCGGGCUCCUGAGUGAAGGCGCCUUCAAGAUGGCUCCAACCCCACCUACCAUCUGACUACAACCUCACGAAAGCCCCUCAACUCAGAACCACACAGCUGAGCCACUUCUAAAUUCUCAUCCCACAGAAACGGAGAGAUAAUAAAUGAAUAUUAUUGUUUUAAGUUGAGGUAAUUUUUUUAUUGAUUUUUUUUUUUAAGGGAGAGAGAGAAAGAUCAAUCAGAUUCCUCCUGCAUACACCCCAACUGGGGAAUCAAGCCUACAACCUGGGCAUGUGCCCUAACCGGAAUGGAACCCACCACCCUUUGGUAUGCGGGACAGCACUCCAACCAACUGAGCCACACUGGGCAGUUGAGAUAAUUUUUACUGUUGGGCAUAAUUUGUUAUGCAGUAAGAGGAAACCAAUAUGAAAUUCAUUACAAAAACUACUAAAAACUCUACAUUGUUAGUCAACUAUUAAUUAAAUGAACCAGUAAA